rnacentral:lncRNA from 1 species
CCGGGACGCAGGGAGCUGGAUGGAGAGCGAGCCUGGGCGGCGAAAGGUUGCCGAGGCGGGGGCUGGGCGCCUGGGAACAAAGUUGAAAAUGCAACUGCAAGCUCCCCGGUGAAACAAAUACCGCCUUCAACCUUCGUAUUCUGUGGUGACUCAUCUCGCACGUGACCCCCCUCCCUCUUCAAGGUGUGUUGACCGACUACAGUUUAAGCCUGUCGUCCCACAAAAGGCCCGGGAGGGCCGGGGUCCCAGGAAGGGCCAUCCUGGGUCAACACCGCCCCAGUUGGGAAGUCGGGCCGCUUUCGGACUUGCCACUGGGAAGGGAAGUGAUUUGGGGGCGGCAGGUAAGGCCGCGCCCCUUCGCCAUCACCUGGGGAAAGGUACCAGAGUUGAGCCGGGGCGCCCGCAGGCCUGUCUGGGCCUCGGGGUAAGGCGGCGCUGGCCCCGCCCCCUGCCCCUCCCGCCGCGAGUGGCCUCGCGUGGUCGCCCAGGUGAGCCGCGGGGCCGCGAGCCACCGCUCACCCCGCGUCGGGGCGGGGGCUGGGGGUGGAGCCUCAUGCCCCGCCCCGCGGCUGGGCCCUGCCGCGCCGCUGCGGCUCCUCCUCCCUCCUUCCGUCCUCCGCGCCUUCCGUCGGUCGGUCCUUGCUUCCUGCUUCGCCUCCGCGCCUCGCGCUAUGGGACAGAGCCCCCGAUCCGCCAGCACCACCUGAGGAUCCAGAAACCGCCCCAGCGAUGGAAGAGGAUCAGGAGCUGGAGAGAAAAAUAUCUGGAUUGAAGACCUCAAUGGCUGAAGGCGAGAGGAAGACAGCCCUGGAAAUGGUCCAGGCAGCUGGAACAGAUAGACACUGUGUGACAUUUGUAUUGCACGAGGAAGACCAUACCCUAGGAAAUUCUCUACGUUACAUGAUCAUGAAGAACCCGGAAGUGGAAUUUUGUGGUUACACUACGACCCAUCCUUCAGAGAGCAAAAUUAAUUUACGCAUUCAGACUCGAGGUACCCUUCCAGCUGUUGAGCCAUUUCAGAGAGGCCUGAAUGAGCUCAUGAAUGUCUGCCAACAUGUGCUUGACAAGUUUGAGGCCAGCAUAAAGGACUAUAAGGAUCAAAAAGCAAGCAGAAAUGAAUCCACAUUCUAGUCCUUUAUGCAGUAUACAAGGAGAACUGUCCUGUAGGAUAUUCUCUUCCUGAUGGUGCAGAACCCAGAAUUAGAAGUUUGUGGUUACAGCAUACUCUGUCCUUCAGAAAGGCGUGAUUCUAGCUGUUGACCCCUUGCAGCUGUUGGAAUCUCUGCAAGAACCUCUGUAUUCUUCUAAUAAAUUCCCUCUUUUAUU